rnacentral:lncRNA from 1 species
AAAAGCUGAAUAGAAGUAUAUCAAUAUUGUUGAAUGCUUUCUAUGGAUUUAUCCACCGUGUUUUAUGUUAAAUUGGGGGACUCAUUUGUGUUGCACGUUUUCUCAUUAUGUGAGUUUCUCUACAGGCCAGAAAGCAUCAAAAUAUUUUUUUAUUAUUAUUAUUUUUGACGGAAUUAUUGUGAGUUGUUGUUCUUUCCUUUUGGAAAGGAUAUGAGACAAUAAAAAUCCACAAAGAGAAAAAACUGUUAAUACAAAGACUACAGUCACUCUAAAACCUGGGUAGUGCUCUCUUGCAUCUAAACCCGUACUCGAUGAAUCCUGCAGGGAUGCAGGAGCAGCAGUGUGGGUGUGCAUGUCGGGGCACCGGGGAGACCUGCAUGCCUGCGGUAUGGCUGGUGUGGCACUACACGCCGAUGAACAAAUCCCACCGGACCACGACCCGCUCAGGUCACUCUGUGCUGCUGCCAGAGCAACCAUAGAUUGAGUUAUUCGCAUCAUCAGGAAUUUUGAACUUAUUAUUUAUCCAUAACAUGGUGCCUGACCUGAAGGACGCUCGUAUAAAAGCUACUGCUCUCAAUAAAAAAAGUUAUCUGUGUUGUUGUGCUGUGAGGUAGCUGGGAGAGCUAAUGUCUUCAAACUCUUUUUAGGUAUAUUCAGGUGUAUAUGGUGAGGUGGGAUUUGUGUUCUGUAGAUGAAGAUGAGGAAAGCUUGGAGAGGUAAAGUAUGGAGCGUCUGUUAUACCCAAAACUUUCAUCUGACAGAUGAAAAAAAGGUAAUGCAGAGUCUUUUAUUUAAUUAUUUUUUUCAUCUAUCAAAUAAUCUCUUUACUCUUCAGAAACGUGAAAGAGAAGAUAAGUAGGCCUUUAUUUCCACCAAAAAUUUUUGAACCCUUCAAAGUUUUUGACACAGGAUACAAGAAGGCACAGAUGCCAUUUCAUUUUCUUCUCCAAAUGUGCUCUGGUGAAACGCCUGUUGACCUUUUAUGGAAAAAUGGCUUCCUGAGAACAUGGUGAAUUUAUCUUCCUUUCUUUCCACUCUCUGUAUAUCUCUUGCCUUCUGUUCAUAGAGAAUAAAUUAUCUACAUACCUUCUUGGAUCUGGGAUC